GACGAACGCUGGCGGCGUGCCUAAUACAUGCAAGUAGGACGCAGUUGCGAACGUGUGAGUAACGCGUAGGUAACUGCCUAUUAGAGGGGGAUAACUAUUGGAAACGAUAGCUAAUACCGCAUACUAGUAGAUGGACCUGCGUUGUAUUAGCUAGUAGGUAGGGUAAUGGCCUACCUAGGCAACGAUACAUAGCCGACCUGAGAGGGUGAUCAGCCACACUGGGACUGAGACACGGCCCAGACUCCUACUGGAGGCAGCAGCAGGGAAGCUUCGGCAAUGGGGGGAACCCUGGACGAGCAACGCCGCGUGAGUGAUGAAGAUUUUCGGAUCGUAAAGCUCUGUUAUUAAGGAAGCGGUACUUACCCAGAAAGGGACGGCUAACUACGUGCCAGCAGCCGCGGUAAUAC
rnacentral:rRNA from 1 species